UUUAAUUCAAUGUUUUUGCAUAACAUUAAUUUUUUUUUUUUUUAGCCCUUAGCCUCUGAACUCCUUUGUCUGGUGUCCCCACAGAUACAUCUUGAAGUUCAGAGUCUCGAGAUAAAAUCUUCUAUGUCAUGGAAGAUGCAGAGUGAUGGUAUCCAUCUGGUUACCUGGAGUAGGAAAGGGGGACCAAGAAGAUUCUCUCACAGGUGUUUGAAUCCACCCCGGAUUUUCAAUAAAACUGCCUUUUCAGAGAAUAAUUUGUUUCAUCUUUUUUCCACAAAUUGGAAGAAGAUCUCUACUUUCAGAUGGGUCUACACGUUUAAACAUUCCAACAUGCUUAAUUUAAACCAGGAAGUUAAAAAUGAUGUUAGAAGUCUCCAAAAGCUGCUAGGAGAGAACUAUACUUAAUAAAUUAAAUGAAGACACUUAUUUGAGUAAAAUAUAACAACUGAUAAAUAUUUUUUUAAUGUUCCCAUAUUCAAGGGGACUUGAAAAAUUUCAUGGAAAAUGGAAUUAAAGGUAAGCUGAUUUGGGCACAAAAUAAUUUUGAAAUCAGGCAGAGUUUUUCAGACUUUGUAUUUUCCUUGAAUGUUUUAAAGACCCCUUAUUAAAAAGUACAUAGGUCUCCAAAUUACAUAAUGGAAAAGAACUGCAUCUUGACAACUUUUUUGUUUGGCUAUUACAUUAACACAAAAUAAUCUAUUUUGCUUGAACCGUUAUACAUUUAUAGGGUUUACCCAGAUGAACAUAAGCAUCAGUUUGGCUUAGGAGACUUUCCUACAUGUUUGAUUUUGUUGUUGUUGUUGUCAUUACAUGCAGCUAUAGCCUGACUUUUCUCCCCCAGCUUCCAGCCUUCCAUGUUGAGUUUACCAUUGAAAAUCUUCCUUGUGUAUGUUGAGUCUACUUUUCUGGUUCUUGUUUUUAUUGAUUGCUGAGUAUUAUUACAUUGCAUUUAUAUACUACAUUUUUUUAUUCAUUCAUUCAUCAAUAGAUAUUUAGGUUGAUUCCAUGUGCUAUCAUGGAUGAUACUUCAGUACUUUUAAUGCAGGCAUUUCUUUGCUAUACUGCUUUCAUUUCCUUUGGAAAUAUAACCACUAGUGGGGUAGCUGGAUCGCAUAGAAGUUCUAAUUUUUUUCAGAAAUGGCUGAAUUAAUUUACAUUAGCAACAGUAUAUAAUAGUUCUCCUUUUUCUUUUUUUUUUUUUUUUUUUGUUUUCUCUUCUUUGCUUUUUGGUUAUAGCCAUCCCAAUCAUGUAAUGAUGAUACCUCAUUGUGGUUAUGAUUUUCAUUUUACUGAUUGGUAACUUCUGGAUCAACAGGAGAGAAGGCCCACACUUCCUGGAAUGGGACGAAAAGUCCUUGCCAAGGUCCCCGCUGGCGCCUAAAGGUCAACCAAUGAGGAUCAGACAUACCUCAACCUUUAACCUCCACUCCCUGUAUCCAAAAAAGAAGCCCUCCCAACCUCUGAUGCGCGAUUUCCUGGCCCCUGCUCUGUUGGGACUGGGGAACCUCACCCUGGAGUGGAAUCCCAGUAAAAGCUUGUAAAUUGAUUCAUCUGGCUGGGAAUAUUUGUUAUGUGCCAGACACCUUGAAAUGAUUAGUGAUGUUGAGCAUUUUUUCAAAUACCUGUUGGCUACUUGUAUAUAUUAUUUUAAGAAAUGUAUGUCCAAUCAUUUCACCAUUUUUAAAUAAGCUUAUUAUUAUUUUGUUGAAGUUUUUAAUUGUUGAUAUAUGAGGGAUAUUGACGAAGAGCUAUAAAAUGUUAUCUCCCAUUCUGUAGAUGGUUUGUCUACUCUCUCAAUCAUUUCCUUUGCUGUGCAAAUGCUUCUUAGUUCAACAUAAUCCCAUUUGUCUCCUUCUUACUUUUGUUUUCCGUGCUUUGGGUGUCUUAACCAAAACAUUUUUGUCUGUACUGAUGUAUUAAAGUGAUUUCUGUCUUUUCUUCCCAGAGUUUCAUUGUUUCAGGUCUCACAUCUAGCUAAGUCUUUGAAUGAUUUGUGCUGAUACGUACAUAUAGUGAGAGAAAAAAACCAAAUUCUCUCCUCUGCAUAUGAAUAUCUAGUUUUUCCAGUUUCAUCUGUUGAAGAUACAAGCCUUUCCCCAAUAUCUGUUUUCAGUGUCUGUUCAAAAACUAGUUGAUGAUAGGUACCCGGGUUUUUCUAUUCUAUUCCAAGAGUUUAAGCCUUGGUUAUAUGCUAGUACCACACUGUUUUGGUUACUAUAGCUUUGUAGUAUAUUUUGAGAUCAGAGAUUGUGAUGCUGCCAGCUUUAUUUUUUUGACUUAAGAUUGUUUUGGAUAUUUGGAGUAUUUUAGGGUCCCAUAUGAAUUUCAGUAUUAAUUUAAUUUAGUUUUAUGAAGAAUGCCAUCAGUAUCUGGAUUUUCAUUGAUUAUAUAAAUAACUUUUAGUUGUAUGGACAUUGUAACAAAUUUUUUUUCUUCCGUAAUACGAAAGCUGAAAACACCCUAUGCAGCUGCCUUGCACAGGGCAGGUUCACCAGAGGCUCUUGGCGGUUAUCAGGGGCAAAGCCCCUCUAUCCAAGGGUCACGUGUGUGUCAGGUAUUGUAGAGGCCCAGUCAGGAGAGAUGCAGCUGGUGUGGCACUGUGGGCAGGAAUGCGCCAGCUACUUCUGAGGCUGACUAGGGAAAGGGAUGCUCUGGAUGAAGCAUGCUGGGCAGCACAAGUUAAGUGACCAUCAGUAUCCGAGGGUGUCUCGGGGCCAGGUUGCAUCAGUGGACCUUGACAAGGCACCCAUCAUAGUGGAGGGCAGCCCAGUUGCCUUUGUGGUGACUUAAUGGGUGGACUACUUUGCUAUGUAUAAGUGAGUGGAGCCACCCGAUAGCUAUAGUUGGGCAGGGACUUCCUAUGACACUGUGCAUUAGGAAACUGGGUUGGGGAGAGCACAGCAUGUGCUAGACCUUUUGUCUAGGUUAAUACAACAGCCCCCAUUCCCAAGCAGCUCCACACGCUGGGCACAGGGCCUGUCAGAACUGCAGGUCCCUCCAGCAGCAAGUACGUCAGAAUCCACAGCAUUACUGGGACUUCUGAAAGAUUCCUUUUGGUCCAUUCCCCACCUUGUGAUGUGCUUCUUUUUAUUUUAUUUUAUUAUUAUUUUUUUUUUGACAGGCAGAGUUAGACAGUGAGAGAGAGAGAGAGACAGAGAGAAAGGUCUUCCUUCCAUUGGUUCACCCCCCAAAUGGCUGCUACGGCUGGCGCUGUGCCGAUCCGAAGGCAGGAGCCAGGUGCUUAUCCUGGUCUCCCAUGCGGGUGCAGGGCCCAAGCACUGGGGCCAUCCUCCACUGCCUUCCUGGGCCACAGCAGAGAGCUUGUCUGGAAGAGGAGCAACCGGGACAGAAUUUGGCGCCCUAACUGGGACCAGAACCCAGGGUGCCGGCACUGCAGGCGGAGGAUUAGCCUAGUGAGCCGUGGUGGUGGCCUGAUAUGCUACUUGGUUCAGGGGUACAGUUUAAUCUGAACUGGGGACAGAGGACAAUCGAUGCUGUGUGCCUCGUUUCCUUAUUUAUAGGGCUAUCCUGAGUCUGUAUACUCUUCAGUGUCCCUGCCUCAUCCCUACUGCAUUUAAAAGCACUCUCUCUAACCCUUAAACAGAAUAGCAGUUGUUUUUUCCUUCACAUACGUUUUUUGUGUGGAGGUAAGCACAGCAGGCAACCAUUUGCUAAACAGCAAUUUUCCUAGUCCAAAAAAACCCCUGAAACAAUCUGAAUAAGAGAAUAACUAUGUUGUGCCCUGUUCAUACAGGAAGUGCUUUACAACCAAAAGAAAUGACUUUGCAUUGACUCAAAUUUUCUGAGACAUUGCAAUGAUUUUUUUUAAGUGUGAAAGCGGAGAUGCAGAGUAUAGAAUAUAAAAUGACCCUGUUUGGGCUAAAUAAUGUAAUAUUACAUUUAUAUUAAGUGGAUAUAUUAGAAUGUACAAACAUAAAUGUAUUUGAGGGUUUGUAGACAGAUUAAACUGUAAGCAGCAAAAUAAUUAACAAAUUUAGGAGGGGGUUAGGAAAGGUAUGCAUACCAGAGGUCAGGGAUCUGAAGGGUCAUCUGAUUCCAUCUAUCACAAUUUUGCACAGUGGGUGAAAUGCAAAAGCUUAAGGAUUAUGAUUCAAUUUUGAUAUCUGGGUAUAUACAUGAACAUAUAUAACUACAUAAAAAGAUACAUGAAAGAAUAGUCACAAAUAUCAUUGAUAAUUGAGUUAAGGAGGUGAGAUUUUUGUUAUAUCUAAGGUAAUUACUGUGACUGGCAUUGUGGUAUAGCAGGUAAAGCUGCACCUCUGAUGCCAGCAUACCAUGUAGUUGCCAAUUCCUAUUCUUGCUGCUCCACUUCCAACCUAGUUCCUUGCUAAUGGGCUGGAAAAAUCAACGAAAGACGGCACAAGUGCUGUGUCCCUGUCAUUCACAUGGGAGAUCCUGAUGACGUUCCUGGCUCCUGGCUUUUCAGCUCUGGCCAUGUGUCCAUCUGGAGAGUGAACCAGUGGAUGGAAGAUUUCACUCUGUCUCUUUCUGUAACUGACUUUCAAAUAAAUGAAUAAAUCUUAAAAAAAAAAAACUUACA
rnacentral:lncRNA from 1 species